rnacentral:rRNA from 1 species
AUGAACGCUAGCGACAGGCCUAACACAUGCAAGUCGAGGGGCAGCACAAGGAGCAAUCUGAGGUGGCGACCGGCGCACGGGUGAGUAACACGUAUGCAACCUGCCUGUAAGCGGGGAAUAACCCGUUGAAAGACGGACUAAUACCGCAUAAUACUAAAUUACUGCAUGGUAAUUUAUUUAAACAUUUAUGGCUUACAGAUGGGCAUGCGCAUGAUUAGCUAGUUGGAGAGGUAACGGCUCCCCAAGGCAACGAUCAUUAGGGGUUCUGAGAGGAAGGUCCCCCACACUGGUACUGAGACACGGACCCAGACUCCUACGGGAGGCAGCAGUGAGGAAUAUUGGUCAAUGGACGAGAGUCUGAACCAGCCAAGUCGCGUGCAGGAAGAAUGUCCUUAAUGGAUUGUAAACUGCUUUUGCAGGGGAAUAAAGUGCAUCACGUGUGAUGUUUUGUAUGUACUCUGCGAAUAAGGAUCGGCUAACUCCGUGCCAGCAGCUGC